GUUGUGGCUCAGUGGUAGAGUGCUUGCCUUGCAUGCAUGAGGCACUGGGUUUGAUCCUCAGCACAACA
rnacentral:tRNA from 1 species